UAAAAUUCUCUCUCUUUCGAAGGUCUAUAUAAAGAGGCCUACACUGUAUGCAUGUUUAGUUCAUUUCCAUCUACUACAUUGCAAGCUUGUGCAUAUUUCAAAAGAGAAAGACAGCGAUGCCUCCGCCUUGGGGACCGCCACCGGGGCCUCCAGGCCCGCCCGGCCCAUUUGGUUGCCUUGAUUUCCUCUGUGGUGGUCUAUGCCGCCUUGUAUCAUCCUGUUUAUAUGUGCUGUGCUGCUGCUGCAUCCUAGAGAGCUGCUGUGGACCGAUGUUUGGUGGGCCUGGUGGCCCGGGUGGCCCGGGUGGGCCACCCCGGUUCUGAUCAUCCGCUAACUUCCGAAACAUGGUGUAAUUUUUAUGAGAGAAAACAGAAAUAAAAAAAGCUUGUUAUGUGAUUUUA